rnacentral:rRNA from 1 species
GAUGAACGCUGGCGGCGUGCCUAAUACAUGCAAGUCGAGCGAACGGACGAGAAGCUUGCUUCUCUGAUGUUAGCGGCGGACGGGUGAGUAACACGUGGAUAACCUACCUAUAAGACUGGGAUAACUUCGGGAAACCGGAGCUAAUACCGGAUAAUAUUUUGAACCGCAUGGUUCAAAAGUGAAAGACGGUCUUGCUGUCACUUAUAGAUGGAUCCGCGCUGCAUUAGCUAGUUGGUAAGGUAACGGCUUACCAAGGCAACGAUGCAUAGCCGACCUGAGAGGGUGAUCCGCCACGCUGGAACUGGGACCGGGUCCAAGCCCCCAGGGGAGGCAGAGGUGGGAAAUCUUCCGCAAUGGGCGAAAGCCUGAAGGAGCAACCCCGGGUGAGUAGAAAAGGUCUUCGGAUCGUAAAACUCUGUUAUUAGGGGAGAACAGAUGUGUAAAUAACUGGACACAUUUUAACGGUACCUAAUCAGAAGACCACGGCUAAACACGU